GUACCCAUAGCUCGGCUUUUGAAGAAAAGGUGCUGCAAGCAUUUAAAGGACUAGAAAUGAACACAACUCCUUCACUCCCAUAUGCAAUCAAUAGCAAAGCUAGAAACUCAGAUAGGUCAGUUAGUAAUAGCUUUUAGUAGAAGGGAGAAAGGUAAAUUAUCAAGUCAACCCAUCAAUAACACAAAAGGACAGUACAUGGCUGAGAGCUCCACUAGUUUCGAAACUUUUUUCGAACAUGCCAAAUCAAUUAUGACCCUUAGAAGUGGAAAAAUCUUAAAUCAACCUGAAGUAACCCAGCAACCAGAGCCACCAAUGCCAGCCACACCAGGAAAGAAAGAACCGAAAG
rnacentral:lncRNA from 1 species